GUCCAAAUGCAGCAGCAGACUUGGCUGUAGGCUGAUAGAUGAUACUUGCUAACUGUUCUUGUUAUUUUAUGUCACUUUCCAAAGAUUUAAAUUCUUCAUUGAUAUUUACUUAAGAUUAACUUCCCUGAAUCUCAGUUCUUAUUUUGAACCUGCCUAAGAUUUUAAUUUUGAUCUGUAUUUAGGUCUCAUUAGAGAAGCUAUAGUACAAAGCUAUUGAAUUCUCCUUCUACCUCAUCAUGUCUAUCAUGUGCAGGACAUAGCAGGGACUGGAUGAAGGGGCAGGAGAACAGUGGGAAUAUUUCAUUUCUUUCUAAUGUAGUCACAUGCUCUCUGAAAAGCUAAGUGAUAGCUUCCAAUUGAUAUACUUGAUAUUCUAAUUUUUCAGAGGCUGUGCUUUUGACAUUUUUAGCUUAUGUUCAAGUCUUGGAUUGGAGGAGUUGAAAGAGAAGCUUGCCACAACCUUUACACAAGACAUGAGCUGCAGCUGAUGAGGCUUAAGUGCUCUGAAUCUUUAGAAAGCACAGGAAAAUACUUAGUAACUAAGUUGAAUUUGGAAAUGAACUCAAUCAAAGGACAUAAAGCCUCUUCUCUGUGCGUUGGAUUUGUUGUUCGUUUUUAAGUUUGCUGCUGAGAAAGAUUUUUACCUUGUGGAAAUCAUUUUAUACUCAGAAAAACAUGAGACUUCCAGAAACUGUUAAUAUGUUCCCUCUUUUCAUCCACAGAAAUUGUACAUUGCAAGCUGUGUGUCUUAAAUGAGUGAGUCAGCUAAACAGAGACUAGGACUCAAGCUGGUAAAUAAUGUCACUCAAAUGAAACAAAGACACUAUUUUCUAAUGGAAUCCAGUGACACAGUCUUAUGAAAAAAAACAGAGUUUGUGCAGGAGGAUGGAUGGGGACAAAGAAAGAAGUAUUCCAGGUAAUGCUUGUCAAUUGUGAGUUGUAUACCUGGUGUGAGCUGUGGAGGGAGAUUUAACAACAAAGAGCCCAACAGACUCUGGUAGAUCUUAUCUCUAUGAGGCCUCCGGAGUCUGGAGACAGGGCUAAGGUGUAAACAGAAUAGUCUUUAGUAUGCACAGCUAAUGUGGUCACUUCUGGGACAGUUAGGCAACCCUUUGUUUGUUAUCUACGUUGUUGUGAAGAACUUAAGGAUAAUUAACCGUGAGUGGAUUUACUACUUACGAGUGAAGGAUAUAUAAGGUGUGUGUAAAACACAAUAAGAAGAACUUGCUAUUCUGAGAACUUGCUAUUCUGAUGCCACACUGACUGGGGGAAUUCUGUAACGGGACCAACCGCCGACAGUGUGAGCUAGUUAUUUUCUCACUUUGUGGUGUUCCCAUCAAGGAUACAAUUCAGCAUGCAAACAACAACAACAGAACCAAUUGUUGGCUCACUAGUAUAUUUUAAUUUGGGUAUAUAGUAGGAGGAUAACAUUUUGUAUUGUUUAUUUAAGUUGGAAACAAUGAAAAUGACAUCACAGGUUACACGGUUUUCCAACUAUUACAACUAUGAGCCAAUUUAUACAGGUAAAUAAAUGUAGCAGUCUCCAACUCUGUAGAAAUCA
ensembl:lncRNA